rnacentral:ncRNA from 2 species
ACAAAAGCUAAGAUAGGAUCUUAAGUAAUCCUAAUCUCCCUGUUAUAGAGAGCUGAUAAUUGGUGGAAGUCAGUACAAAGGUUAGAGAUGAAAUUCACUCCUAGAGCUUCCUCUUCUAAUGGUGUUUUAGAGAGGACGGAUAAAACCGUUAUGCUAAUUAAGAGGUAAGAUGUUUUUACAAUAUAGGGUGGUACCGCGAAAUUUUCGUCCCUGCU